GGAGUACCUGCGGCUAGACGGAAAGACCCCGUGCACCUUUACUACAAUUAUAUAUUGUAAUAAAAAUUUUAAUGUUUAGAAUAUGUGGGAAAUUGUUAAAAACUGUUUACGCAAGUAAAUUGGUAAAAUAAAAUUGUGAAAUACCACUCUUUAAAAUUUUUUAUUAUCUCAUUAUAUUAAGACAGUGUGUAAUGGGUAGUUUGACUGGGGCGGUCGCCCCCUAAAGAGAAAAGGGGG
rnacentral:rRNA from 12 species